rnacentral:lncRNA from 1 species
UUUAUUAUUAAUUAACUAAUUUAUAAUUUAUAAUUAUUAAUAAUUUAUUAUUUAUAAUUUAUUAUCUAAUUAAUUUUUUAUUAACUAAUUAAUUCAUUAUUUAUAAUAUAUUAUUUAAUUAUAAUUAUUUAAUUAAUUUAUUGUUAUUAAUUAUUAAUAUUAUUUUAUUAUUUUGAAGUAAUAUUUUGAUGUUUAUUAAUUAGAUAAAAAAAUUGUAAUUUAAAAUUAUUAUUCUUAUUCUCUUUGUUUUAAUCUAAUCAUCUAAACACUAUUAUCUUAUUUAUGGAAACAACACAAUUUUUAUCCAAAUAUAAAAUUAAUAUAAUUUUGUUUAUAUCUGAACUUAUAUUUAUCUCUGAAAUAAGUAGUUUUUAUUUAUAACUGAAUCAAACGUAGCCUUAAACAUGUUCAUUUGUGGUGCAGAUGAUUUUAGCCCCCUCUGAAAUAAGCCGUUUUUAUUUAUACCCGAACUAAACGUAGCCUUAAAUGCGGUCAUUUGUGGGGCG